rnacentral:rRNA from 1 species
GACGAAUGCUGGCUGCGUGCUUAACACAUGCAAGUCGAACGGAUCCUUCGGGAUUAGUGGCGGACGGGUGAGUAACACGUGGGAACGUGCCCUUUGGUUCGGAACAACUCAGGGAAACUUGAGCUAAUACCGGAUGUGCCCUUCGGGGGAAAGAUUUAUCGCCAUUGGAGCGGCCCGCGUCUGAUUAGCUAGUUGGUGAGGUAAAGGCUCACCAAGGCGACGAUCAGUAGCUGGUCUGAGAGGAUGAUCAGCCACAUUGGGACUGAGACACGGCCCAAACUCCUACGGGAGGCAGCAGUGGGGAAUCUUGCGCAAUGGGCGAAAGCUUGACGCAGCCAUGCCGCGUGAAUGAUGAAGGUCUUAGGAUUGUAAAAUUCUUUCACCGGGGACGAUAAUGACGGUACCCGGAGAAGAAGCCCCGGCUAACUUCGUGCCAGCAGCCGCCGUAAUAC